GUACUGCUAAGGAGUUCCAUAAUAGGACGAAACAGCCGUCCAGUAC
rnacentral:hammerhead_ribozyme from 1 species